rnacentral:rRNA from 1 species
AUUCCAGCUCCAAUAGCGUAUAUUAAAGUUGUUGUGGUUUAAAAAACUCGUAGUUGGAUCUCGGCGGUCUGAGGGCGGUUCGCUUCAGAGCGCUACUGCCCUAUAGACCGUAGUUUUGCCAGAGGUCUCAGGGUGCUCUUAACCGAGUGUCUUGCGAUGCUGGCAGGUUAACUUUGAAAAAAUUAGAGUGCUCAAAGCAGGCUUUUACGCCUGAAUAUUUGUACAUGGAAUAAUAGAAUAGGAAGUCGUUUCUAUUUUGUUGGUUUUUGGAAAUUGACUUAAUGAUUUAAUAGGGACAGUCGGGGGCAUUUGUAUUCAAAUGACAGAGGUGAAAUUCUUGGACCGUUUGAAGACAAACUACUGCGAAAGCAUUUGCCAAGAAUGUUUUCAUUA